rnacentral:rRNA from 1 species
CCUACGGGAGGCAGCAGUAAGGAAUAUUGGACAAUGGACGCAAGUCUGAUCCAGCCAUGCCGCGUGAAGGAUUAAGGCCCUCUGGGUUGUAAACUUCUUUUAUAGGGGACGAAAAAAGGGCUUUCUAGCUCGACUGACGGUACCCUAUGAAUAAGCACCGGCUAACUCCGUGCCAGCAGCCGCGGUAAUACGGAGGGUGCAAGCGUUAUCCGGAUUCACUGGGUUUAAAGGGUGCGUAGGCGGGCAGUUAAGUCAGUGGUGAAAUCUCUGGGCUCAACCCGGAAACUGCCAUUGAUACUAUCUGUCUUGAAUAUUGUGGAGGUGAGCGGAAUAUGUCAUGUAGCGGUGAAAUGCUUAGAUAUGACAUAGAACACCGAUUGCGUAGGCAGCUCGCUACACAUAUGUUGACGCUGAGGCACGAAAGCGUGGGGAUCAAACAGGAUUAGAUACCCUGGUAGUCCACGCCCUAAACUAUGAUUACUCGACAUAUGCGAUACACUGUAUGUGUNUGAGNGAAGACAUAAGUAAUACACCGUACGGUAAGUACGACCGACGACGGUUAGUAACGUACAAUAGAAGUUAGUUACGGCGUUGAGGACGNGCCGACGGACGACGACGAGGGAGGUUAGG